AACGAACGCUGGCGGCAUGCCUAACACAUGCAAGUCGAACGAGACCUUCGGGUCUAGUGGCGCACGGGUGCGUAACGCGUGGGAACCUGCCCUUAGGUUCGGAAUAACUCCCCGAAAGGGGUACUAAUACCGGAUAAUGUCUUCGGACCAAAGAUUUAUCGCCUUUGGAUGGGCCCGCGUUGGAUUAGCUAGUUGGUAGGGUAAAAGCCUACCAAGGCGACGAUCCAUAGCUGGUCUGAGAGGAUGAUCAGCCACACUGGGACUAAGACACGGCCCAGACUCCUACGCGAGGCAGCAGUGGGGAAUAUUGGACAAUGGGCGAAAGCCUGAUCCAGCAAUGCCGCGUGAGUGAUGAAGGCCUUAGGGUUGUAAAGCUCUUUUACCCGGGAUGAUAAUGACAGUACCGGGAGAAUAAGCUCCGGCUAACUCCGUG
rnacentral:rRNA from 1 species